rnacentral:rRNA from 1 species
AGCGAACGCUGGCGGCAGGCUUAACACAUGCAAGUCGAGCGGGCCCUUCGGGGUCAGCGGCAGACGGGUGAGUAACGCGUGGGAACGUGCCCUUCGGUUCGGAAUAACUCAGGGAAACUUGAGCUAAUACCGGAUACGCCCUUAUGGGGAAAGGCUUGCUGCCGAAGGAUCGGCCCGCGUCUGAUUAGCUAGUUGGUGAGGUUAUGGCUCACCAAGGCGACGAUCAGUAGCUGGUCUGAGAGGAUGAUCAGCCACACUGGGACUGAGACACGGCCCAGACUCCUACGGGAGGCAGCAGUGGGGAAUAUUGGACAAUGGGGGCAACCCUGAUCCAGCCAUGCCGCGUGAGUGAUAACGGCCUUAGGGUUGUAAAGCUCUUUUCUCCGGGACGAUAAUGACGGUACCGGAGGAAUAAGCCCCGGCUAACUUCGUG